CCUACGGGUGGCAGCAGUGAGGAAUCUUGGUCAAUGGACGAGAGUCUGAAGCAGCCAAGUAGCGUGAAGGAUGACUGCCCUAUGGGCGGUAAACUCUUUUUAUAUGGGAAUACAACCGGGUAUGUAUAUAUUCUUGUAUGUACCAUACGAAUAAGGAAAGGCUAAGUUCGUGCCAGCAGCCGCGGUAAUACGGAGGAUCCGAGCGUUAUCCGGAUUUAUUGGGUUUAAAGGGAGCGUAGGUGGAUUGUUAAGUCAGUUGUGAAAGUUAGCGGCUCAACCGUAGAAUUGCAGUUGAAACUGGCAGUCUUGAGUGCAGUAGAGGUGAGCGGAAUUCGUGGUGUAGCGGUGAAAUGCUUAGAUAUCACGAGGAACACCGGUUGCGAAGGCGACUCACUGGUCUGCAACUGACGCUGAUGCUCGAAAGUGUGGGUAUCAAACAGGAUUAGAUACCCGGGUAGUC
rnacentral:rRNA from 1 species